AGAGUUUGAUUCUGGCUCAGAACGAACGCUGGCGGCGUGGAUUAGGCAUGCAAGUCGAACGAGAAGCUUCAGCUUCAAUCCUUCGGGAGAGAAAUUGGAGUAGAGAGUGGCGAAAGGGUGAGUAACGCGUGGACAACCUACCUCGAAGUUGGGGAUAACUUGCCGAAAGGCGAGCUAAUACCGAAUGUGGUCCCUUGUCGCAUGGCGAGGUGAUUAAAGGUGGGGCUCCUUCGGGAACCUGCCACUUUGAGAGGGGUCCGCGUCCUAUCAGCUUGUUGGUGAGGUAAUGGCUCACCAAGGCUUACGGGUAGCUGGUCUGAGAGGAUGGUCAGCCACACUGGGACUGAGACACUGCCCAGACUCCUACGGGAGGCUGCAGUCGACGAUCAUUCGCAAUGCGCGAAAGCGUGACGAUGCGACGCUGCGUGGAGGAUGACGGCCUUCGGGUUGUAAACUCCUGUCAUCCGGGAACAACCAAUUCGGCGCUAAUAUCGCCGGGUCCUGAUAGUACCGGAAGAGGAAGCCACGGCUAACUCUGUGCCAGCAGCCGCGGUAAUACAGAGGUGGCGAGCGUUGUUCGGAUUUACUGGGCGUAAAGGGUGUGUAGGCUGUUUGGUAUGUCGGAUGUGAAAUCUCACCGCUCACCGGUGAAACUGCAUUCGAAACUGCCAGGCUAGAGUACGGGAGAGGAGAGCGGAAUUCUUGGUGUAGCGGUGGAAUGCGUUGAUAUCAAGAAGAACACCGGUGGCGAAGGCGGCUCUCUGGAACGUUACUGACGCUGAGACACGAAAGCUAGGGGAGCGAACAGGAUUAGAUACCCUGGUAGUCCUAGCUGUAAACGGUGUGAACUUGGUGUUGGGGGAGUUGAUCCCUCCAGUGCCGGAGCUAACGCGAUAAGUUCACCGCCUGGGGAGUACGGCCGCAAGGCUAAAACUCAAAGAAAUUGACGGGGGCCCGCACAAGCGGAGGAGCAUGUGGCUCAAUUCGAUCCACGCGAAGAACCUUACCAGGGCUUGACAUGUAGCUGCACGCCCGCCGAAAGGUGGGAAGCUUUCGAAGGUGCUACACAGGUGCUGCAUGGCUGUCGUCAGUUCGUGCCGUGAGGUGUUGGGUUAAGUCCCGCAACGAACGCAACCCCUGUGGUUAGUUGCCACCGUAGGUGAUGAGCCUACGAGCACUCUAGCCAGACCGCCCGUGCAAGCGGGAGGAAGGUGGGGAUGACGUCAAGUCCGUAUGGCCUUUAUGCCCUGGGCUGCACACGUGCUACAAUGGUCGGUACAGUGGGGAGCAAUACCGCGAGGUGGAGCCAAUCCUCAAAGCCGGCCUCAGUUCGGAUUGGAGUCUGCAACUCGACUCCAUGAAGUCGGAUUCGCUAGUAA
rnacentral:rRNA from 1 species